rnacentral:rRNA from 1 species
UAGGGAAUCUUCGGCAAUGGACGAAAGUCUGACCGAGCAACGCCGCGUGAGUGAAGAAGGUUUUCGGAUCGUAAAACUCUGUUGUUAGAGAAGAACAAGGACGUUAGUAACUGAACGUCCCCUGACGGUAUCUAACCAGAAAGCCACGGCUAACUACGUGCCAGCAGCCGCGGUAAUACGUAGGUGGCAAGCGUUUUCCGGAUUUAUUGGGCGUAAAGCGAGCGCAGGCGGUUUCUUAAGUCUGAUGUAAAAGCCCCCGGCUCAACGGGGAAGGGUAAUUGGAAACUGGGAGACUUGAGUGCAGAAGAGGAGAGUGGAAUUCGAUGUGUAGCGGUAAAAUGCGUAGAGAUAUGGAGGAACACGAGUGGGGAGGGCGGCUCUCUGGUCUGUAACGGACGCUGAGGCUCAAAAGGGUGGGGAGAAAACAGG